CUUGUCUCUCACCUGGCUCAGACUGCCUGGGAAGAGGUUCGACCGGGACCGGGUGCCUGGGUCCCAGGGUGCGAGGAGCGACAUGUCCCGAGAAGGUGGUUCAGCACCACGGACAGAGGAUCAGUAUGGCAGGAUCUCUGCCCCAGGCGUUUCACAUCGUGCAGGGCCCCUAGCCGGCACCCCUCGUGGUCCCCACCCAGGACUCCUUCAUUCAUCUGUCGGUUCCCUGGGCAAGCUCAUCCAGGGCAGCGGGGCUGUGGCUGCAACGGCAACAGUUAUGACGCCCCUUUGUGCUGCCUGCACCUCGUGUGUCAUCUCAUUUGAUCCCCAUAACGGUCUGUGAGGCUUUCCUGCUGCCGAGGAGCUCUCGUUCUGGGUGACUUGGCAUUUGCUUACGAAUGAAGCCAGAUGCGGAAGCAGACCGGCCUUGAGGGAGAGGCGUCAACGGCACCGGCCGUCCACGACCCGCGGAGCAGCCAAGAGGACAGACGCUGGGAGACACCGGCCGCCACUGGCCUGAGGGCAUCUGUCCUGACAUGUCCCCUCUGACGCUUCCGGAAGAGUUGGGAGGCUCUUAACAACCAAAAUAUGUGCCUGGAGAAUUGGGGGAAUUAGGAAUCUGACCCUUCCGUGCCCCUGUGCCUUCCAAAGCAUUUCCUCUUUUGUUCUGUCCACUUUCCUUUGAAUGUGCUCGCUGCUAUCCGCUCAGCCACGAGGAAAUGAGGCCUCGUCCCGUCUGCCCCAGGGACCAGGGGAGCAGGGAGGGCGGGGACGUGCUGCCUGAGGCCUGACAGUGGCAGUGCGCGUCUCCUGGUGCCGUGCCCGUGCCCCUCACAGCAUCCCCGCUGGGAAGUCCCCAGUGUUGUGCCCAUUUACAGACGAGGAGACGGAGGCUCCGGGAGGAGGGGUGCCCCCACCAGGGAGCGUUGAGCCAGCGUGCGCGCCCAGUCUGUCGACUCCACGGUCCAAGCCGACCUUGGGAGGGUUGAGGUCCCUGCACCUCAAUCUCCACAGCUGUGGAGCAGGGGUGGUGAGAGUCCCCACCUCGCAGAGUCACUGUGAGGGUCCAGCCGCUGAACGUGUGCAAACAGGAGGAGAGUGCAGGUGGAGAGUGAGCAGUGCUGGUCGUCUUGACCCAAACAUGUGUCCCCAAAACCAAAGUUUCCCAGCACUUACUUUUUCCACGUGCAACACAUCCUGAUGGUUUUUGAAAAGCUCUGCUGCCAACAGCGGGAGACCCCCGCCUGGAAGAAGGAUGCCCGGGAGCAGUGCCUGGGGUGCGCCAUCUGCCCCCCAGGGUCCCUUCUGCUCGGCCCAGGAUGUGGUGUUUUGUUUUGGCAAAAGGGCGGUCCCUCCCUUUGGUCCACCUCACAGAGACCAAGUUACGAUAAGGCUCGAGGAAGAGUCCAGGAAGGUGGAGCAUGGGGAGAAGCGGCCCCAGGGAGCAGCGCGGACGGGCUUCAGCGAACAGACGCGCAGGCUCUUCUGGUGCGGUUGGUAGGACCACCUUGUCAGCUCAUUCAACAGGCUUCACUGGGACUGCGGUUCAAGCGGCUUCACGAUGUGGGGGCGCCAGUGUGCCCUCACGUCCCUCUGUCCCUGGACCUUUCAGUGCACAGCAGCCAGGUGUCCACCUGCCAGUCCCAGCAUCCUUACCUGGCUGCUGGAGCCCACCUGUGAGCAUGCUUCUGGGGAGCCCCAACCAAGACAGCUGAGCACGAGCUGUGCUGGAGGCCUGCAGGGAGCUGUGUGCAUGGGAGGAGCUGGGCAUGCUCUCACACUGCUCAUGAGAAAAGUCCCCCAGAGUCAUCCAUGGCCCGAGGGCCCGUGUGCCUGGCGCACUGUCUGCUGCCUCUUCUCUCUCAUACUCUCCGGCAGCCACCCCGACCACAUCAGACUCCAACUCAGGGCCUUUGCACAAGCCAGUCCCUCUGCCUGGAGGUCCUUCCUUCCACUCUCUGUGUCUAACCCUGGUUCCCCGUCCACAUCACCAUCCCACUUUCC
rnacentral:lncRNA from 1 species